GAUGAACGCUGGCGGCGUGCCUAAUACAUGCAAGUCGAGCGAACAGACGAGGAGCUUGCUCCUCUGACGUUAGCGGCGGACGGGUGAGUAACACGUGGAUAACCUACCUAUAAGACUGGGAUAACUUCGGGAAACCGGAGCUAAUACCGGAUAAUAUAUUGAACCGCAUGGUUCAAUAGUGAAAGACGGUUUUGCUGUCACUUAUAGAUGGAUCCGCGCCGCAUUAGCUAGUUGGUAAGGUAACGGCUUACCAAGGCAACGAUGCGUAGCCGACCUGAGAGGGUGAUCGGCCACACUGGAACUGAGACACGGUCCAGACUCCUACGGGAGGCAGCAGUAGGGAAUCUUCCGCAAUGGGCGAAAGCCUGACGGAGCAACGCCGCGUGAAUGAUGAAGGUCUUCGGAUCGUAAAACUCUGUUAUUAGGGAAGAACAAAUGUGUAAGUAACUAUGCACGUCUUGACGGUACCUAAUCAGAAAGCCACGGCUAACUACGUA
rnacentral:rRNA from 1 species